rnacentral:sRNA from 1 species
AUAAACAGAGAAAGAA